rnacentral:rRNA from 1 species
CCUACGGGCUGCACCAGUGGAAUAUUGCACAAUGGGCGCAAGCCUGAUGCAGCCAUGCCGCGUGUAUGAAGAAGGCCUUAGGGUUGUAAAGUACUUUCAGUUGGGAGGAAGGCGUUGAUGCUAAUAUCAUCAGCGAUUGACGUUACCAACAGAAGAAGCACCGGCUAACUCCGUGCCAGCAGCCGCGGUAAUACGGAGGGUGCAAGCGUUAAUCGGAAUUACUGGGCGUAAAGCGCACGCAGGCGGUCCGUCAAGUCGGAUGUGAAAUCCCCGGGCUCAACCUGGGAACUGCAUUCGAAACUGGCAGGCUAGAGUCUUGUAGAGGGGGGUAGAAUUCCAGGUGUAGCGGUGAAAUGCGUAGAGAUCUGGAGGAAUACCGGUGGCGAAGGCGGCCCCCUGGACAAAGACUGACGCUCAGGUGCGAAAGCGUGGGGAGCAAACAGGAUUAGAUACCCGAGUAGUC